AGUGGGGAAUAUUGGACAAUGGGCGCAAGCCUGAUCCAGCCAUGCCGCGUGAGUGAUGAAGGCCCUAGGGUUGUAAAGCUCUUUUGUGCGGGAAGAUAAUGACGGUACCGCAAGAAAAAGCCCCGGCUAACUUCGUGCCAGCAGCCGCGGUAAUACGAAGGGGGCUAGCGUUGCUCGGAAUCACUGGGCGUAAAGCGCACGUAGGCGGACUCUUAAGUCGGUGGUGAAAUCCUGGAGCUCAACUCCAGAACUGCCUUCGAUACUGGGAGUCUCGAGUUCGGGAGAGGUGAGUGGAACUGCGAGUGUAGAGGUGAAAUUCGUAGAUAUUCGCAAGAACACCAGUGGCGAAGGCGGCUCACUGGCCCGAUACUGACGCUGAGGUGCGAAAGCGUGGGGAGCAAA
rnacentral:rRNA from 1 species